rnacentral:lncRNA from 1 species
CGGCGUUCCGAACGUGACGUCAUCGCUCAACUCUGCGGGAGAAUUUAAAAGCGCUCACGUCACAAACAGAGAAUUCGCGCGAUUCUCUCUUUGGAAGAAGGACGGAUUUCAGAGAAGCUCUUAUCAGAUCCAUAACAGAGAGAAGAGAAGAACCAUGUCCAGAACUGAGGACCAGAGUACCGUAUCCGGUACCGAGGAAUACACAGUCUUAUUCGGCUUCACGCGUAAAUGUUUCCUCCAUAUCUACUCCAAAAUCAGCAGCUUUAUGGGGACCGUGCUGCCCGAGAGCACGGGGGGCGUUCUGGAUUCAAAGACCAUCGCUCACUUAACCGACAACAUCUUGAUGGACGUGUUGAGACAGACCAGUUCCACCCUCAUGCAGCUCUGUGAGAACGAGUACUUCUAUAGCGCCACUCAGGCUAAACAGAUGGGCAGCGAUAUGGCUGAGAAACUGAUCUAUUCUACAGCUGACAAGAUGCUGGAGUACUGGCACCUGUGCACCGUGUCCAAAUGGUUGACCGCAACCUCCUACGAUAAUUGCGUACAUCCCAACAUCAUGUUGGACUCCCUGUCUUUCCGAAUGGCGGAGGACACUCUGAGUACUUUCUUCCAGGCCUUGUUGAGCGUCUGCAUCGGGCGGAAGCCCGGCGAACCCUGGUGUGUUUUUUUAGACUCGCCCAAGUGUAGCUUUCUCAUGGAUGUCGUCGAGAACGCAGUGGGUUUAUUAAAACCAGCAGAGACCAGAGUUACCUAUUCAGAGAAGAGAGUCUACAGGAUGUUCAGUCUCCCUUCUGCUAAGGAACGGUGUAGCGAAAUUAUCCUGAGUGCAAUGCUUAGAUGUGCCGAAGAAGAGUAUGAAGAUGAAGAUGAUUUCGACAGCAAAAACGACACUCACAAAGUGAUUAGGAGCUACUGGAAAACUCUCAAGACUGAGACCCGCGAGUUCAUCCACAGCAGCAUCCUUAAAGAGACUUCAAAGAUCACGCCACUUACCACUAAACUGGAACGCUUCGCAUCAUUAACAUCUUCAGAAAUCCUGGACAUGCUGACCUCAGAACUAUUGCUUAUCUUUGACGAGUACUUUUUCUCAUACAACAGCAAAUCAGUGGUGGAGAGGAUAUCCAAAGCUUUGCGGAAGCGAACUCAGGAUAAAUUUAACGAGGCUAUAAGAACAACCCUCCUUCUGAGUUCCAAGCAGGGCAUGUCCACUAGCCAGAAAGCUCUGCUCAGGUCCCGCUUCCAGGCCUGCUCUGAGCGAGUGGUGAGGAGAAUUGUUUGGGACAUCAAGGAAUUCCUCACUGGCUUUUUAUUGAAAAAAAUUCGGGCUUCAAUUCCGGCUAAAACAUUCCUUAAAUCUAUGAAGAAACAAUUAGACAUCAUGGCCCGUCAGUCUAAAGAUGAAGACAUUCCCAUCCCGCGACCAUCUCUACUGUCCAGGAUCAAGAGAAUAUUCCACCAGCUGAGGAACAGGAUACGUAAGGUAUUUCAUUUA